rnacentral:tRNA from 1 species
UAAUAAGAAGCUAGUAGCUCUCAGUUUCGGCCUGAAUUUUAGGUAAAUUUACCCUUAUUAA